rnacentral:rRNA from 1 species
UACAGAGGGUGCGAGCGUUAAUCGGAAUUACUGGGCGUAAAGCGCGCGUAGGCGGCUUUGCAAGUCGGGUGUGAAAUCCCCAGGCUUAACCUGGGAACUGCAUUCGAGACUGCAUUGCUAGAGUAUGGGAGAGGGAAGUGGAAUUUCCGGUGUAGCGGUGAAAUGCGUAGAUAUCUGGAGGAACACCGGUGGCGAAGGCGGCAUCCUGGACCAACACUGACGCUGAGGAGCGAAAGCCAGGGGAGCAAACGGG